UUCACAAAUGUGUGAUGCAUUCAGGCUGGAGCUCUCCAUCAUCCUGCCUUCCCCAUAUGGGGGCACCAGGAUAAGAAAUCAUUAUUUCCUUUCAACAAGCCCUGAAGAAAGGCAGAAACCUGCUGAGGUGUUGCCUGAGAAAUCUCUGAUCACAGAAGCACAGACUGGUUGAGGCUGGAAGGGACAACAGUGGGGCAGCUGAUCCCACCUCCCAUGGCCUGCUCCAGCAGGGCCAUCCCACAGCACAGGGCACAGGGAUGUGUCCAGAGGGGUUUGGAAUGUCCCCAGUGAGGAGACUCCACACCCUCUCCGGACAAUCAGGGCCCGCUGAGUGCCCAGGGAAGAAGUUCUGCCUCCUGUCCAGGUGGAACCUCCUGGGAUCAGUCCCUGCCCGUUCCUCUGCUGCCAUCGCUGGGCCCCCGGAGCAGAGCCUGGGCCUGCUCGGAGCCCUCCCUGCAGACAGGGACACCCAGGGCUGAGGGCCCCUCUCAGCUGGGGCUCCUCUGGAGGCUGGACAGCCCCAGCUCCCUCAGCCUUUCCCUGCCAGAGAUGCUCCAGGCCCUAAAUCAUCUCUGCAUCCUCCACUGGCCCUGCUCCAGGAGCUCCAUGUCCCUGCUGUCCUGAGGAGCCCAGGACUGGACACAGCAUUGCUGGUGAGGCCUUAAAAAGGCUGAUUGUUCAAGUCACACCUGUAAGAGGCCUCAAACAUGCUCCUCCUGAAGUCAGAGGUCUGCAUGUAGUGAAAGCAAGGUGCUUUCUGCAGAAGGAGAAUUAAGAAGGCCCAAGUAGCAGUUCUGCCUCUCCCCCUCUCUUGGCUGGCAGAAAUGUGUGUGACAUUCACUCCUUUUCAGUCAAAAGUAACUUUUCCUGGUUGCCAUGAGCUGUUGAAGAUGAUGAGUCUCACAGUGACACUGACGGUUCCCUUGGCACUGUCACAGCCAAAUGAACUAUUCCCAUGAACAAUUGGCUUAAGUGCUCCCUAACUCUGUCUUCUUCCUGCAAUCAUGAGGAAAUAAUAACAGUGUGAUUAUUUGGGUGUCCUGUGCAGGGCCAGGAGUUGGACUUCAAUGAUCUUGAUGAUCCACAGCAAGUCUCAGAGCCCGUGACUUCAAGACUUGUUCUACCAGCUAAACAGGGUUUAAUCUGUUUCCUCUUCCCAAGCAAGUGGUCUGUAGCAGAUUCCUGUAGCAGAUUCCUGCCCCAAAUAUUAGCCUUUAUUCUGAUCAUUCCUGAAAAAAUCUUGAUUCAGUUCCAAGGUUAUUUGGACACCUGAGCUAUCUUAGGCAUUUCUGUUCAGGUCUCCCCCAGCUUCCAUUUCUGGUGAUAGAGCAUUUGGAGUCACCUCAAGUUUAUCUGCAUGUCCUGGUGUAAAAUCCCCUGCAGAAAGAAGUGUUUCAGUCCAGCGGUUGAAAGCAAAAUUGAAACUGAAAUUAAACAAAAAAAAAGAAAGAAAAAAAAAGAGUGUAGUUUGGAGCAUUUAUACUCUUGUGGUAUACUGGUAUAUUUGAGAAAAUUAUUGAGAGAAAAUGGAGGCAGGAGAGAAGAAGAAAAAGACAGCAAAAGGAAAGAAAUUAACUAAAAAAAGAGGAAAAAUAAUACAAAAGGAAGACUUUUGUAGAUGACAGUGAAUAAAGUGUUAGGAACACUUGCUUCCUUCUUUUUAUCUCCUGGCAAGGUUAUUGCUCAAUGUUAUUCCAGGAAAAGUCCAUCUUCUGUGAUGACAAGUUUUCUGUUUACUCAAAUUAGUGUCAAAGCUGUGUGAGAUCUUUUCACCAUGGAAGAAAUUAGGCUGGCAGUUGGUGACAGGCACCAGGCACAUCGCUGAGAGCUGGACAGGGCACUUUGAACUGGACUUGAUGCCAGGGACGUUAGUAGAAGGAGCAGUAAAUGAGGAUAAUGAAUGUGUUUCAGAGAGGGAAGGAGAAGAGGUGUGAGUGCUCAGGAUCACAAAGGAUCUGUGCCUGGAGGUUUAUGUGCCUAUAUUUCAUAAUGAUCACCUAUUCCCAGCUGAAGUGUUGCACUUGCUGGCCUCAAGUCCUGGAAUGAGGUCACCCUGAAUCCUUGUUUUCUCUGGGAAGAACAAUUCCAGUUCUUUCAGCCUUUCCUUGCAUCACUCAGAAGAACUGUUUUGUACAUUUCUGUGUUGUUUCUGUCUUUAGUUAAAGAAGGCCUGAGAGUGACAUGCAUCAAUAUCCCAGGUGGGAGCUGGAAACCACAACUGGGCAGCCAGCAACCUGGAUCCCCCUCAUCCUGGAGGAGGACCUGCUGUCUUCAGAGUAGAACGCUGCUGGCAGGAGCAGGUGUGGAGAUGUCAGCCUGCAGUGUUUUUACAUAAUGAAGACAUUUGGUUGCAUGUUUAUUUGUUUUUGAAACUGAACACAAUCCGUUUGCAGAGACAUACUUUUGUUCUGACUUGAUGGGAAGCACCGAGUGAAAAGUUGGCAGGUAGGAGAUGUGAUUUAGCCUCCUUGCUGAUGUCCCUUCAGCUCAGGUGGUGAUUUUGUUGCCAAAGGAAAGAUUUACCAUGUUUUUUAAUAAUCCCUGGAGAAACCAUUCCCAGAUCUCAGAUCCAACACUUAAUUAUUCAUUAACUUGCCACUCUUGUUACCAAUUCCCUCACCCAGGGGUGAAUAACUGAUUGCUAUCAAUCUUGUCAAUCCCCCUCAUCAUGCUGAGAUGCCUCAUGACAGGAGUAGCUUCUGCUUUGGAGGCAGAUCAAUACCAAUUUCAUAAUGGAGGGAGUAGGUCUUAGGAAUGGGAGUUGAACACACCUUAAUCAAGUGGAAAAAUGUAAAAGCACAACUCUUGGCUUUAUUCCUCUUUUAGUCUCAAAUCUGGAGCUGUUCCAAAAUGAGACUUUUAACUUUUAAGCUAUUGUUCUAAAUAAGUCUGAAUAAUUGCUCAGUUUUUAUCUGAGAAAACCUACCAAGAUUUUUUUAACUCAGUGGGGAUAUUCUGACUUUUUGUGCUAGAUUCUGCUGAAAAUUCAAGAGCAGGGAGUUGGAGUACUUCUUGUUUCUUUCCAGCUGGUUAAAACACGAGGCAUUUGAAAGCAAUUUAAGAUCAGGAUUUCUACCUAAAAGCACAAUGGGAAAAAGAAACUGUUCUCAUACCUUUUGGGGAGGAAGUAUUUUUCAACGAUUCCAGUUUAAACUGUAGAUCCUACAAAACUAAAUCAUGGAGGUUUUAUUAAGGCUCACUAGACUGGACCUGUAUUUCUUGAGAAACUUGUAAACAUAAACACAUCCUUCAUGAAAAGAUAUAGUUUCAGGUCUUUAUCGAUCACCUAACAUCAUGUAUUUUAUGAUUUUAUUUCUUUUCUGUUUAAAAAUGUAGUUGGAUUUGUCAGUACAAUACAUGAAGCUCUUGCUGCUUGGUUUGAUAUUUCAAUAUUGAAUCCUCAGUUUCUAGAUUUUUUAAAAAAUUUACAGUCUAGCAAUGACAGCAGAGUGGAUGUCUCCAUCUCCAGGGAUUGGGGCAAAGUUUGGGAAUUACUGGAAAACUUUAAAUAUAUAUGUUUAGAAAAUAAACUAUAAAAUUACAAACUUUCAAAAUCAUUUCAUAUAUAUUCUUAGAUUUGUCUUGAAAAGUAAGACUGAUAAAUAGGUCAAAUUUGAAUUUUGCCAUUUCAGCUGCCUUUGAAUAAUGCCAGAAAAGUUAAAUUAGAAAGCUCAGUAAGUCAAGAGAAAACUUGACCUUACCAUACAAUGCUGUACCAAAAGUAAUUUUCACAAACUUCCUGGAGAAAAAUAAAACAUGAAUUCUAAAUUUUUAUAAACUGCUGUGGAAAAAUGCUUUUUUUGUGGUACAUCAACAACAGGAAAAGAGAUUUUCAAAAUGAGAUAAUAAUAGUGCUUUUAAGAAGGAAAUUGAAGUCCUAUAAAUACGUUGAUGGUUUGGGAUUUUUUGUUCAUGAUAACUAUUUUAAAAACUCAGCAGUUGCAUUUUAAAUCAAUUUUCUAACCUUAAGAGAAGUUUGCUAAGCUCUUAAAGUUGGAAGUCAUCUUUUUGCUGAUUUCAGGAUCUCUGCCAAGCACUGUUUUCAGUGAUGAAAGAAAAGGUCUAAGUCCCUGGACUCCUGUGGGAGGGAUAGAAAAUGAGGUGACUAAACCUGACCUCUCCUCUAGUUCAGAUUCACCUCCUUGCCCUACAUAUUAUUAAGGAAAAUAUUUUUAAAUGCUUGGAGUUCUGAGCACCUUCUAUUAAGUUAGGACAGCUCUACCCACCAGCACAAUAAAAGAAGUUUUAAUCACCCACUCAUAAAUACAUUUUUCUUUUUGUUGCUGGCUUUUUAGUUUUUUGGUUUGUUGUUGC